rnacentral:rRNA from 1 species
CCUACGGGAGGCUGCAGUGGGGAAUAUUGGACAAUGGGGGGAACCCUGAUCCAGCCAUGCCGCGUGUGUGAAGAAGGCCCUCGGGUUGUAAAGCACUUUCAGUGAGGAAGAACGCCUGGUGGUUAAUACCCAUCAGGAAAGACAUCACUCACAGAAGAAGCACCGGCUAACUCCGUGCCAGCAGCCGCGGUAAUACGGAGGGUGCGAGCGUUAAUCGGAAUUACUGGGCGUAAAGCACGCGUAGGUGGCUUGAUAAGCCGGUUGUGAAAGCCCCGGGCUCAACCUGGGAACGGCAUCCGGAACUGUCAAGCUAGAGUGCAGGAGAGGAAGGUAGAAUUCCCGGUGUAGCGGUGAAAUGCGUAGAGAUCGGGAGGAAUACCAGUGGCGAAGGCGGCCUUCUGGACUGACACUGACACUGAGGUGCGAAAGCGUGGGUAGCAAACAGGAUUAGAUACCCUAGUAGUC